rnacentral:tRNA from 8 species
GACUUAAGAAAAUCCGUCGACUUUAUAAAUCGUGAGG